GACGAACGCUGGCGGCGUGCUUAACACAUGCAAGUCGAACGGAAAGGCCCUGCUUUUGUGGGGUGCUCGAGGGGCGAACGGGUGAGUAACACGUGAGUAACCUGCCCUUGACUUUGGGAUAACUUCAGGCAACUGGGGCUAAUACCGGAUAGGAGCUCCUGCUGCAUGGUGGGGGUGGGAAAGUUUCGGCGGUUGGGGAUGGACUCGCGGCUUAUCAGCUUGUUGGUGGGGUAGUGGCUUACCAAGGCUUUGACGGGUGGCCGGCCUGAUAGGGUGACCGGCCACAUUGGGACUGAGAUACGGCCCAGACUCCUACGGGAGGCAGCAGUGGGGAAUAUUGCACAAUGGGCGGAAGCCUGAUGCAGCAACGCCGCGUGCGGUAUGACGGCCUUCGGGUUGUAUUCCACUUUCGCCUGUGACGAAGCGUGAGUGACGGUAAUGGGUAAAGAAGCACCGGCUAACUACGUG
rnacentral:rRNA from 1 species